UGUACAGUUGAUUUGUGGGUAGUACAUUGUUCAUUUGUGCAUGCAUUUAUUUCACUUUUAGGCACUGGCUUUAUUGUUUACAAAAAGGAAGCAAUGGUUUGACAUCUAUGAGAGAAACACAGUGAAAUAUGACUGGUAUGCACUGGGCAACUGAGGGAACUCACUGGGAACCUGAAGACACCUGAGCUGGAUGAACCAACUGUUAGAUGGGCUGAGAACCAGCUGGACUGCCAGGCUCAAAAUGUCAUAAUUGAUGGCUUGGCAACCAAAUGAUAUCCAGUAGCAAAAUGGACUAAAGGACCUCUGGACAUCUCAUCCGGCCAACAUUUCUGCCCCUGACGUGUAUGGCAUGUUUGCUGUUGCUCCAAGAAUAUGAUUCUCUCCUUCAUAAAUUGUGAAUGGUCUUAUAAGAAAAGCAGUAGAUUCUCAUAAAUUGAAAGAGGACAGCUGGGAAUUACCAGCAUGAAUCCUCCCCUGUCCUAGGAGUCUGUCUGCCUGGAUUCAGGGCCAACAGUGAUACAUGAAGAGCUUUGAGGAGAUAUAUGAGAAGCUGCUUUGGGGAGCCUUCCCCUUAUUUUCCAGGCCAGGACAUAAACUCAGGCUGUCAUCCUGGUUCCAUGCCUGAGUCAUGCAAUUAUGAUUGCUCAUGCCUCCCUCAUUCCACCUCCAAUCCACACACUUGCCUUUCUGACCUGGUCCCUGACCUGUCUGAGCACUAUGGACUGGACUAGCAAUCUGAGGCCAUGUCCAACCAUUGUUCCAGUCACCAGACCUGAUCUGCUUUCCCCAUUCAGGUUCACUUCCUGGAGGCACCUGGUUUCCUGUGAAUAUCAACUUCCUUUUCAAACAAAAUGACAAUUUACAGGCAUAUUUAUUGCAGAGGGAAACUUGAUCUAAGUGCUUGAUUUGAAAGAAUAAAGAAAAAUUAAAUAAAAUAAUACAUUUAAAACAUA